rnacentral:rRNA from 1 species
AAAGAAACUCUCCCGACUCCUCUGCCACCGCUGGGCGCUGGCACCGCCCAGUCCUCGCUCGCGCCGCCGCGAUUCGCCGAACUCGCCCGUCCGCGCAGCCUGCCAGCGCCACUCCUCCGUCCACGCCGGCCGUCCGCCCGCGUGCCCUCCGUCUGCGCCGCCCGUCCGCGUCCUCCAGUCGCCGGCGGCAUCUCCGUCCGCGCCGCCAGCGCCGUACCUCCGUCCACGCUGUCUGCCCGUGCCGCCCCUCCGUCUACGCCGCCCGUCAGCGUCCUCCAAUCGUCGGCGACACCUCCAUCCGCGCCGCUUGCGCCUCUAACUUCCUCCAUCGCAGG